GGUUAAGCGACUAAGCGUACACGGUGGAUGCCCUGGCAGUCAGAGGCGAUGAAGGGCGUGCUAAUCUGCGAUAAGCGCCGGUAAGGUGAUAUGAACCGUUAUAACCGGCGAUACCCGAAUGGGGAAACCCAGUGUGAUUCGUCACACUAUCAUUAACUGAAUCCAUAGGUUAAUGAGGCGAACCGGGGGAACUGAAACAUCUAAGUACCCCGAGGAAAAGAAAUCAACCGAGAUUCCCCCAGUAGCGGCGAGCGAACGGGGAGGAGCCCAGAGCCUGAAUCAGCAUGUGUGUUAGUGGAAGCGUCUGGAAAGGCGCGCGAUACAGGGUGACAGCCCCGUACACAAAAGCGCAUGUGCUGUGAGCUCGAUGAGUAGGGCGGGACACGUGGUAUCCUGUCUGAAUAUGGGGGGACCAUCCUCCAAGGCUAAAUACUCCUGACUGACCGAUAGUGAACCAGUACCGUGAGGGAAAGGCGAAAAGAACCCCGGCGAGGGGAGUGAAAAAGAACCUGAAACCGUGUACGUACAAGCAGUGGGAGCCCCACCACUAAGCCAGUGGUGAACUCCACAUACGCAUCCUUUGCUGAAGGCAAUGGUUAACGGAGCGAAAGCGACGUUCAACCGCAAAAGAAGCAGAGGGGGCUUAGUGGUGGGGUGACUGCGUACCUUUUGUAUAAUGGGUCAGCGACUUAUAUUCUGUAGCAAGGUUAACCGAAUAGGGGAGCCGUAGGGAAACCGAGUCUUAACCGGGCGUUAAGUUGCAGGGUAUAGACCCGAAACCCGGUGAUCUAGCCAUGGGCAGGUUGAAGGUUGGGUAACACUAACUGGAGGACCGAACCGACUAAUGUUGAAAAAUUAGCGGAUGACCUGUGGCUGGGGGUGAAAGGCCAAUCAAACCGGGAGAUAGCUGGUUCUCCCCGAAAGCUAUUUAGGUAGCGCCUCGUGAAUUCAUCUCCGGGGGUAGAGCACUGUUUCGGCUAGGGGGCCAUCCCGGCUUACCAACCCGAUGCAAACUGCGAAUACCGGAGAAUGUUAUCACGGGAGACACACGGCGGGUGCUAACGUCCGUCGUGAAGAGGGAAACAACCCAGACCGCCAGCUAAGGUCCCAAAGUCAUGGUUAAGUGGGAAACGAUGUGGGAAGGCCCAGACAGCCAGGAUGUUGGCUUAGAAGCAGCCAUCAUUUAAAGAAAGCGUAAUAGCUCACUGGUCGAGUCGGCCUGCGCGGAAGAUGUAACGGGGCUAAACCAUGCACCGAAGCUGCGGCAGCGACACUCAGGUGUUGUUGGGUAGGGGAGCGUUCUGUAAGCCUGUGAAGGUGGCCUGUGAGGGUUGCUGGAGGUAUCAGAAGUGCGAAUGCUGACAUAAGUAACGAUAAAGCGGGUGAAAAGCCCGCUCGCCGGAAGACCAAGGGUUCCUGUCCAACGUUAAUCGGGGCAGGGUGAGUCGACCCCUAAGGCGAGGCCGAAAGGCGUAGUCGAUGGGAAACAGGUUAAUAUUCCUGUACUUGGUGUUACUGCGAAGGGGGGACGGAGAAGGCUAUGUUGGCCGGGCGACGGUUGUCCCGGUUUAAGCGUGUAGGUGUGUGUUCCAGGUAAAUCCGGUUCACUUUAACACUGAGGCGUGACGACGAGGCACUACGGUGCUGAAGCAACAAAUGCCCUGCUUCCAGGAAAAGCCUCUAAGCAUCAGGUAACAUCAAAUCGUACCCCAAACCGACACAGGUGGUCAGGUAGAGAAUACCAAGGCGCUUGAGAGAACUCGGGUGAAGGAACUAGGCAAAAUGGUGCCGUAACUUCGGGAGAAGGCACGCUGACACGUAGGUGAAGUGAUUUACUCAUGGAGCUGAAGUCAGUCGAAGAUACCAGCUGGCUGCAACUGUUUAUUAAAAACACAGCACUGUGCAAACACGAAAGUGGACGUAUACGGUGUGACGCCUGCCCGGUGCCGGAAGGUUAAUUGAUGGGGUCAGCGCAAGCGAAGCUCCUGAUCGAAGCCCCGGUAAACGGCGGCCGUAACUAUAACGGUCCUAAGGUAGCGAAAUUCCUUGUCGGGUAAGUUCCGACCUGCACGAAUGGCGUAAUGAUGGCCAGGCUGUCUCCACCCGAGACUCAGUGAAAUUGAACUCGCUGUGAAGAUGCAGUGUACCCGCGGCAAGACGGAAAGACCCCGUGAACCUUUACUAUAGCUUGACACUGAACAUUGAGCCUUGAUGUGUAGGAUAGGUGGGAGGCUUUGAAGCGUGGACGCCAGUCUGCGUGGAGCCGACCUUGAAAUACCACCCUUUAAUGUUUGAUGUUCUAACGUGGACCCGUAAUCCGGGUUGCGGACAGUGUCUGGUGGGUAGUUUGACUGGGGCGGUCUCCUCCUAAAGAGUAACGGAGGAGCACGAAGGUUGGCUAAUCCUGGUCGGACAUCAGGAGGUUAGUGCAAUGGCAUAAGCCAGCUUGACUGCGAGCGUGACGGCGCGAGCAGGUGCGAAAGCAGGUCAUAGUGAUCCGGUGGUUCUGAAUGGAAGGGCCAUCGCUCAACGGAUAAAAGGUACUCCGGGGAUAACAGGCUGAUACCGCCCAAGAGUUCAUAUCGACGGCGGUGUUUGGCACCUCGAUGUCGGCUCAUCACAUCCUGGGGCUGAAGUAGGUCCCAAGGGUAUGGCUGUUCGCCAUUUAAAGUGGUACGCGAGCUGGGUUUAGAACGUCGUGAGACAGUUCGGUCCCUAUCUGCCGUGGGCGCUGGAGAACUGAGGGGGGCUGCUCCUAGUACGAGAGGACCGGAGUGGACGCAUCACUGGUGUUCGGGUUGUCAUGCCAAUGGCACUGCCCGGUAGCUAAAUGCGGAAGAGAUAAGUGCUGAAAGCAUCUAAGCACGAAACUUGCCCCGAGAUGAGUUCUCCCUGAGACUUAGAGUCUCCUGAAGGAACGUUGAAGACGACGACGUUGAUAGGCCGGGUGUGUAAGCGCAGCGAUGCGUUGAGCUAACCGGUACUAAUGAACCGUGAGGCUUAACCUU
rnacentral:rRNA from 1 species